rnacentral:tRNA from 1 species
GCGGAUAUGAUGAAGAGGCUUAACAUAGCCGACUGUGACUCGGUCACUCGUGGGUUCGAAUCCCAUUAUCCGCCCCA